GUUAGGAAUAUUGGACAAUGGGCGCAAGCCUGAUCCAGCCAUGCCGCGUGAGUGAUGAAGGCCUUCGGGUUGUAAAGCUCUUUAGCCGAUGAUUAUAAUGACUGUAGUCGGAAAAUAAGCCCCGGCUAACUUCGUGCCAGCAGCCGCGGUAAUACGAAGGGGGCGAGCGUUAUUCGGAAUCACUGGGCGUAAAGCGUGCGUAGGCGGCUUUGCGAGUUGGGAGUGAAAGCCCAGGGCUCAACCCUGGAAUUGCUCUCAAAACUGCAAGGCUCGAAUUAGGGAGAGGAUAGCGGAAUUGUCAGUGUAGCAGUGAAAUGCGUAGAUAUUGACAGGAACACCAGUGGCGUAAGCGGCUAUCUGGACCGAUAUUGACGCUGAGGCACGAAAGCGUGGGGAUCAAACAGGAUUAGAAACCCUAGUAGUCC
rnacentral:rRNA from 1 species